rnacentral:lncRNA from 1 species
GUUGCUCGGAUUUUCUGCUUAUGCUAAUGGUUAGUGAUGUGUUUACUCUUUGCAUUCUUUUUUUGUAUAAUUUUUUAUAGCAUGACAUCCUAUCUUCCCUCUUACAUGAUUGUCUUUGGUAGUUGCUUUGCUCUGUUCUUAUUUUCUCUUUUAUUGCUCCGUUCCUUCGAAGCCUCUUCUUGGUUUUGCUCUUCUUGAUACAGAUUGGUCAGGUGAGCUUUUUCUUUUACUGAACUAUCUCAUCUAUAAUGCUGUUUAUUCCAAUAUGUUUUUUUGGUCGAACAUUCGUGGACUAACUCAGCUUUACUUACUUUGUUUAUGGGUGUUUUAUAUUUUGCCGUUGCAUUAAGGUAAGCCUAUGUUAAAUUUCCUGUCUUCUUUGAUUCUUUAUUCUACCUUUCAUUUAUCCAUUAUUUGUUCUUAUUUGUGUUCUGCCUUUUUCCCCUGUUUUCCCUUUACAUUUUGCAUGAGCUUUCUUCGUCUGUGGUUGCUGUAAGGAACUUUCUUUCUUUGUCACUAGACACUUGCAAAUUGGACUGUUCUGUGAGCCACCGAAUGUUUUGCUUCCACUCAAAAGAGUGACAAUAAUUGUGCUUUUUCUUCAAUGGUUGGGCCUAUUUUCCACCUUGCCUAACCUUUUAAACUAUACCUGCUUCUUUGACUUUGCCGUCGAUUUUCCGUCUUGUUCGUAUGGUGUUAGGAGCUGUUUUUCUUCUCAGAAGGUGAUGGGAUUUGGUGGAUGACGAGCUCAAGAAGGUAAGGGGCUAGUAAUCUUCUGUCUUGGUUACUCUUUCCAUUUUUCUCUUUUUUCUUCAUUUCCCUUUUCCCUCCUACCUCCCUCGAGUAAUAAUAGUUAGUUUCUUCUAUUUUUUUGCCUUUUUUUCCCUAAUCUUUUUUUUCCUUUGCUAAAAGCAACAAAUCAUUUUCUCCUCUCCUCUGCGUCUCUGUUUGUUAUGUUCUCAGAUAUUUUGCUAUUAAGAAAACUUCAUUUUUUUUGGGCUUUGUAAUCACUGAAUCUCCACUAUACUUAAUUUUCUGACAUGCUUCAUUUUUUCCCAUCUUUUAAGGAUUUAGCUUGCAUGUUUCAUCAAUAAAUAUUUUCAUCAUUUUAAUCUGGACUUGGAUAAUAGCUACAUUUUUUGUCCAUUUUUUCCUUUUGUUAGGUGGGAAAAGAUGAUUAAGAUUGGAGAUGAAUUGAUGAUGAUUUUGAUGGAGGUUUUACAUUCAUCCAUGGUUCCAGAUGUUUUACUGGAAACAUUAACCUUUACCCACCAUAUGUGUGUGUGUGUUUUUUUUACAGUUUCCUUUUUCUUUUCCAAAACUCACUUUCUUCUUGUUGCGAUUGCAGGUGUGAAGAGUUGGCAUUCUCACCAAUCUUCAUAUAUUUCAAAGGUAAGGCUUUAAUAUUUUGCUAAGUAAUUAUGCAAGGAAAAUUGUGUUAAGUUGACCAGAGUAGUUGUCGGGUUCUUAGACUAAAAAAUUUGUAGCAUCUUCAUGUCAUGGUAGUUUGAAUUCUAUUUCUCUUUCAUAGUUUUUUGUACUAGAAUUUCUUCUUAACUUUUGUGUGAAAGAACUGCUUUUGAUGGCUUACUUGAAGAAAGUAGGAGUAAUUGAAAUUGAUAUUUUAAAUCUGAGAAGUGGAUGAUGCCAUAGAGCUGGCAUUGCAACCAGAGAGACUUACAACAUGCUGUUAUGGCUUCCACUUGAAAUCUGGAG